rnacentral:rRNA from 1 species
CCUACGGGAGGCAGCAGUAGGGAAUCUUGCGCAAUGGGCGAAAGCCUGACGCAGCCAUGCCGCGUGAAUGAUGAAGGUCUUAGGAUUGUAAAAUUCUUUCACCGGGGACGAUAAUGACGGUACCCGGAGAAGAAGCCCCGGCUAACUUCGUGCCAGCAGCCGCGGUAAUACGAAGGGGGCUAGCGUUGCUCGGAAUUACUGGGCGUAAAGGGAGCGUAGGCGGAUAGUUUAGUCAGAGGUGAAAGCCCAGGGCUCAACCUUGGAAUUGCCUUUGAUACUGGCUAUCUUGAGUAUGGGAGAGGUGAGUGGAACUCCGAGUGUAGAGGUGAAAUUCGUAGAUACUCGGAAGAACACCAGUGGCGAAGGCGACUCACUGGCCCAUUACUGACGCUGAGGCUCGAAAGCGUGGGGAGCAAACAGGAUUAGAUACCCUGGUAGUCCACGCCGUAAACGAUGAGUGCUAGUUGUCGGCAUGCAUGCAUGUCGGUGACGCAGCUAACGCAUUAAGCACUCCGCCUGGGGAGUACGGUCGCAAGAUUAAAACUCAAAGGAAUUGACGG